AGACGUCACAUGGUGGUCAACACGUGACCGAACCCAGGAAGUGGAGCAAUCCGACAAAGAUGGAGUGGGGAGGAGAGUGUGUCACUCAUUUUUAAGAGGACAAGCGUCGGCGAAGUGUGAAAGGAAGGAAGAAAGAAAGAAAAAAAGAAGGCCUGGUUUCUUCAAGAGGAUAUGUAAAGGCCAAGUGAAAUACCAUGGCAACACGACAAAUCUCUCCAAUCACCUACUAGGGCGCCUUGGGAUUUCACGCAACGCUGAACGUCGCAGGGAACAUUGCUUCCGGAUUUUUCCAAGCAGAGAUGAGGAGAUUAGGAAAAAAAAAAAAAAAGAGAGUGAGAAGAGACAAGGACCGGAGGGGUGAAAUGAUCUCUGUCGGCGGAAUGGUGUCUUUGACCCAUCGGAAAAAUCCAGUCGUCCAUUUACAUAUAAAGAGUUCUUUUAAUCAAGGCCCUGGGAAGAGGAGAGAAACGCCAAAGAGGAGUCAGAAUCACAAGUGAAGACCAGACAGGGAAGCUUCAGAUGGAAAAAGGACCACAGAAGAGGAAGACAUGACCAUUAGGGAUGAGCGUUUGAGUGCCACCAAAGUAUUUAUUUUUGUUUGUUUUCUGCAUAUAUUUUUAUUGAUGUAUUUUUUUCAUUUUAAUUUGUGUAAACUGCUGCUCUUUCAUAACUUUAUUCUGAGUAAUUCCAAAACAAUUCCAAAACAAUUAAUGUAUCUCCAACUCACAAACACGUCUUUAAUCCGCUCGUCCUAGGAACGACAGUCAUUGUCACUAGGUCACAGCGAGGUGCAUUCAUGGACACUGCCAAAUAUCACGUCUUCACGAUGCGUGCAUGCGUGGUCUAAAUAAACAAUAAGUGCUCGGAAAUCCCAAAAAAUACAUCUACUACUCAAAACAUGUGAAUUCAACCUGAGCUACGUGAUGUCUUUGAGCAGUCAAUAAUGCAGUUCAGGUGUCAUUCAAACGUUCUGCUGCUAUUAGAGAGACUGGCAUUAGAUUAGCUUUUCCCACGUUCGUGCUAGCUUCUUUUUAGCUUCAUUUAAACUGUUAAAACAUCCAAUAUACAGUAUAAUAACUGUGUCCUGUCACUUAUGUUUCUGUUCACAAAAUACAGCCGUGCAUCUGCUGGUUGCAGCCAAGUCGUGCAAUUGGUUGAAAUUGGAAUCAUCAGUUUCUCAACAACAGUACAUCCUGGCUAUUAGCUAUUCGAGUUAUGCAAAUGAGAAAAACUUAAAACCAUAAAACCCCUGAAAAUGUGCACUUUUGAGACUCUAAACCGUAUAAGCUGUGCUCCUAACAGGUCUUCAACAACACAUAACAUCACGUCUUGUGAAGGCAUCUUCUUGCUGGAAAAUGUUACUUGAAUUGAUGUGUGAGACAUCAAUAUUGAUUACCAUUAUUUAAUUUAGUGUAUCCCCUAGUGUAUCCAGCAAAUGCUAUACUUAUCUAUUGUAAUUUGUAUUUAUUAAUUUUAUGGCUAGACACCUGUUGCUACAGACUGAACAGCACCUCUGCUGGUUGCAGACAAG